GGAUAUUAUACCCAGACAGUAAUUGAUAGCUGUGCUGCAAAAUGUCCUUGGAAAUUUUUUUUCAAAUGUUGGCAACUAUGGCACUGUAUCAAGGGUAAUAUGUUUUUUUUUUUUUAAUAAUCCCUGGUGGAAAAUAAUGAAUCCUCCACCAGGUAUUAUUAAAAAAACAAAACACAUUGUGUCGGGGGCGUGGCUUAACAUGUGAC
rnacentral:lncRNA from 1 species